rnacentral:rRNA from 1 species
UACAGAGGGGGCAAGCGUUGUUCGGAAUUACUGGGCGUAAAGGGCGCGUAGGCGGCCUCUUAAGUCGAACGUGAAAUCCCCGGGCUUAACCCGGGAACUGCGUCCGAUACUGGGGGGCUUGAAUUCGGGAGAGGGAUGCGGAAUUCCAGGUGUAGCGGUGAAAUGCGUAGAUAUCUGGAGGAACACCGGUGGCGAAGGCGGCAUCCUGGACCGAGAUUGACGCUGAUGCGCGAAAGCCAGGGGAGCAAACGGG